rnacentral:rRNA from 1 species
GAGACUGCCGGUGUUAAACCGGAGGAAGGUGGGAUGACGUCAAGUCCUCAUGGCCUUUAUGCUUAGGGCUACACACGUGCUACAAUGGGUGGUACAAAGAGAAGCCAACUCGCGAGAGCGCGCCAAUCUCAAAAAGCCAUCCUCAGUUCGGAUUGGAGUCUGCAACUCGACUCCAUGAAGUUGGAAUCGCUAGUAAUCGCGGAUCAGCAUGCCCGCGGUCCGAAUACGUUCCGGGCCUU